ACAUACAUAGAUAGGGAAGGAAAUGCGAAGACACACAGAAAGAUGACCAUCUUACAAGCCAACAAGAGAGGUCUUAAGCAGAUCCUCUCACAAUCUCAGAAGGCACCAACACUGCCAACAUUUCACUCUCUGACUUCCAGCCUCCAGAAGUAGAUCAGGAUAGAAUUGCUGUUUGACAUCUCUCCCAACUUCCUUAUGCUCUCCGGAGCAGAACACUUCACAGCAGUUAUCAAUCCCAGGGGGAGGAUCCAAACACUUCUUCCUAUUGCAUCUUGGAACUGGAGUCACUAAGAAAAAUGCAACAUGGUCAAGCACUGGGUAGAACAACACACUUUACUUACAGAGAGAAGAAACAGAACAAGAUAAGCUUAAUAGAGUGCUGUGAUCCCUUAUGGCUAGCACGUCACCCAGGCAGGUCACCCAGGCAGGUGGCUGAGAAUGGGCAAUUGGCCUACACGCACCCCUGUCGGGCUGAAGCAGAAGAACCCAACCCCUCCUCCAUGGAGUCUGAAAUAGUAAAAACUGGGUAUGUUCCUGAGGACCAUUGACUUACGAGCUUAAACGGAACAAAGGAGUGCACCCUGAGCUUAUAAGAAAAGAUACUUGCAUAUAAGACAAUAGGCCCUGCAGAGGCUAUCUGGGCUUUUGAUGUUUUGCAAUAAAAAAUUUCUAGGAUCAAGGCCCAUUUUUAUGCAGUCAACUGGGGGUGGAAAGACCCCACAAACUACCUUUCCCAACAGCCUGUCUUCCUUGUUGAGAAAAUUCUCUCAAGGUAUUUACCAGCAGUAAGUUGUUUGAUCCUCUAGAAUGUCUAAUGUCAUCUUGAUGUUGGAUUAUUGUGUUACCAAGCUAACACAAGUGAUGCCAAGAAUAGCCUGAGAAAUGCAGCAGUAAGAUGGGGAUUUAUGACUGACCCACCCCCUUGCUGGCGGGUGAGAGGAUGCCAUCUCUGUUGGAAGGAAGAAAGGCCUGCAGAUACAAUAGAAAAGCCUUCACACAAAUCUGCUGGAGAAGUAGAUCCGGGUGAAACAGCAGGAAAACUGUCGUAAAAAUGCAUAUCUCAGAUCUCCUACUAGUAGGGUCAUAAGCAACCCAUGACUCCAGCUGCUGAGGUCUAAAUCUGUCACUACUUAUGCUCGGAGACUAUUUCCUGUGGAGGAAGUAUUCUUAACCAAUUACUGCAUUUGGCUGUGAUAUGAAAGUUGGCUCAGUCCUGCUGGAUGGAGGCUGAGGCAAAUGUCACAGAUGAUGGAGACAUGACCAGGGUGAUGGGAAUGGCGUUGAAGAGAAGUUGCCUGGCUUGAUAUGUAGUUGAAAAGUAGAACUUACAGGACUUGCUAAUAGUCUACAGGUCAAUAGAGCAUGGAGGAAGUGAGAUUUUGACCAUCCAAAGCCUAAGUCUCAAGAAGCUUUGUGGUUUUCCACUGUGCUCUUUUGAAACACAGUCCUAAUGUGGCCAUUUAAAGGAGCACAAUCUAGUGCAAUCCAGCCUACUGGAGGAUAUAAGAUCUGUAGACUCUCAAGCCAGCAGCAAGUGACACUUCCAGGCACAACCAGCCAUCAUGCCAAAGUGACUUUCAGCAUUGAACUACACCUCACAAUACCUGCAUUCUCUUUUUUACUACAACUUGCUGAUUUCUUUUUUUUUUUUUUUUCUGGUAGCAGAAAUCCCCAUUUGAUGCCAAUUCCUCAUCAUCAUAAGGGAAUGUAAUCAAGGAUUCUUUCCUAAUAAUGUGAAUAGAUGUGCAGUGACUGAC
ensembl:lncRNA LINC00559 long intergenic non-protein coding RNA 559